rnacentral:lncRNA from 10 species
AGCUGGACUAAAUUGGUCUAACUAGGACACUUGAAGGCUUGUGAAUCAGUUCACACGAUCAGUGUGAAAAGCGGGUAUGAAGACCCAGAUGCUGGUGUGUACGUGUGCAUAUAAGCCCCAACAGGCUAGAAAUCAAGCCUUUCUGGCUUCCGAUUGUUGGAGAAGUGGAAACAGUUAAUGGAGUAUGCAAUGAGGUUCUGGCGGUCAGAAGUCCAAAAUGGGUCUUACACGACUAAAAUCCAGAUGUCGACAGGGAGGAAGAACUGAGGAUCCUACAUCAUGUUAGGGAGCAGCAAGAGCACUGUAGUAAGACAUAACCCUCCUUUGCCUCUCUAUGUCCUCUGCCCCAUGCUGCUUAUGUCCUUAUUGAAGUUAAGAGUCCGGCUGUCAUUGAGAACCUCUGAUACUGCACCAUUUGAUGAAGGGCUAUGAAAAAUUCCCCCGAGAACAGCAAUGCACACUGAUCCUACCAGCUCAUUCACUAGAAUACACU